rnacentral:rRNA from 1 species
GACGAACGCUGGCGGCGUGCCUAAUACAUGCAAGUUGAGCGCUGAAGGUUGGUACUUGUACCAACUGGAUGAGCAGCGAACGGGUGAGUAACGCGUGGGGAAUCUGCCUUUGAGCGGGGGACAACAUUUGGAAACGAAUGCUAAUACCGCAUAAAAACUUUAAACACAAGUUUUAAGUUUGAAAGAUGCAAUUGCAUCACUCAAAGAUGAUCCCGCGUUGUAUUAGCUAGUUGGUGAGGUAAAGGCUCACCAAGGCGAUGAUACAUAGCCGACCUGAGAGGGUGAUCGGCCGCAUUGGGACUGAGACACGGCCCAAACUCCUACGGGAGGCAGCAGUAGGGAAUCUUCGGCAAUGGACGAACGUCUGACCGAGCAACGCCGCGUGAGUGAAGAAGGUUUUCGGAUCGUAAAACUCUGUUGGUAGAGAAGAACGUUGGUGAGAGUGGAAAGCUCAUCAAGUGACGGUAACUACCCAGAAAGGGACGGCUAACUACGUG